AACGAACGCUGGCGGCAGGCUUAACACAUGCAAGUCGAGCGCCCCGCAAGGGGAGCGGCAGACGGGUGAGUAACGCGUGGGAGCGUACCCUUUGCUACGGAAUAGCUCCGGGAAACUGGAAUUAAUACCGUAUGUGCCCUACGGGGGAAAGAUUUAUCGGCAAAGGAUCGGCCCGCGUUGGAUUAGCUAGUUGGUGGGGUAAUGGCCUACCAAGGCGAUGAUCCAUAGCUGGUCUGAGAGGAUGAUCAGCCACAUUGGGACUGAGACACGGCCCAAACUCCUACGGGAGGCAGCAGUGGGGAAUAUUGGACAAUGGGCGCAAGCCUGAUCCAGCCAUGCCGCGUGAGUGAUGAAGGCCUUAGGGUUGUAAAGCUCUUUCACCGGGGACGAUAAUGACGGUACCCGGAGAAGAAGCCCCGGCUAACUUCGUGCCAGCAGCCGCGGUAACAC
rnacentral:rRNA from 1 species